rnacentral:rRNA from 1 species
UACGGAGGGGGCUAGCGUUGUUCGGAAUUACUGGGCGUAAAGCGCGUGUAGGCUGCUUGGAAAGUCGGAUGUGAAAGCCCUGGGCUCAACCUAGGAAGUGCAUUCGAAAACUUCCAAGCUGGAGUGCUGGAGAGGAAGGCGGAAUUCUCGGUGUAGAGGUGAAAUUCGUAGAUAUCGAGAGGAACACCGGUGGCGAAGGCGGCCUUCUGGGACAGUAACUGACGCUGAGACGCGAAAGCGUGGGGGAGCAAACAGG